rnacentral:rRNA from 1 species
UACGGAAGGUUCGGGCGUUAUCCGGAUUUAUUGGGUUUAAAGGGAGCGCAGGCGGACCUUUAAGUCAGCUGUGAAAUACGGCGGCUCAACCGUCGAACUGCAGUUGAUACUGGAGGUCUUGAGUGCACACAGGGAUGCUGGAAUUCAUGGUGUAGCGGUGAAAUGCUCAGAUAUCAUGAAGAACUCCGAUCGCGAAGGCAGGCAUCCGGGGUGCAACUGACGCUGAGGCUCGAAAGUGCGGGUAUCAAACAGG